rnacentral:rRNA from 1 species
GUGGGGAAUAUUGGACAAUGGGCGCAAGCCUGAUCCAGCAAUGCCGCGUGGGUGAAGAAGGCCUUCGGGUUGUAAAGCCCUUUUGUACGGGAAGAAAUCAUUCGGGUUAAUACCCUGGGUGGAUGACGGUACCGUAAGAAUAAGCACCGGCUAACUUCGUGCCAGCAGCCGCGGUAAUACGAAGGGUGCAAGCGUUAAUCGGAAUUACUGGGCGUAAAGCGUGCGUAGGUGGUUGUUCAAGUCUGUCGUGCAAGCCCUGGGCUCAACCUGGGAAUGGAGAUGGAAACCGGGCGGCUAGAGUGCGGUAGAGGAUGGCGGAAAUCCCGGUGUAGCGGUGAAAUGCGUAGAGAUCGGGAGGAACAUGCGUGGCGAAGGCGGCGAUCUGGACCAGCACUGACACUGGGGAACGAAAGCGUGGGGAGCAAACAGGAUUAGAAACCCGGGUAGUCC